CGGAUGUGAGUGCGCUGCUGCCAGGGCAAGCGGGAAGGUGUGUCCCGGAGGAGGGAGAAGAAUGGCGGGAUUCAGAGGUGAGGAGGCAGAAGAAGAUUCCAAGCUCUGGACCUCUGGGGGCCACUGGGAGAGUUGAAGGUUUGAUCGCGGAUAUGUUGGGUUUUGUGAAGGCGUUGGGGCGCGGGUGCGGGGAGUGUCCUUGGGUGGAGAAGUCACGAAUGUAGGAAUGGAACAAGUUCGGGUCUCCUGACUGGGUCGUGAAGUAGUAUUGUCUUUCCCAAGCUUUCCUGUUGAUGAGCGGCGUGGAGAGAAUGGGGCUUGCUGGAUUUUGUAUUUUCCGCAAGUACUCCCAGGUGAUUCUGGUCUGGUAAACACUGUUGGAGUGGAAGGCCUAUCUGCCCCGGACUCAGACCUUCUCUCUGCCCCCAUCUUUGUGCCCUGAGAUGUUCCAGCAUUCUCGAGCCUAAGUUUCUUCAUCUAUAAGGAGAUAAAAUAACCAGUCCUCGCAGGGCUGUUGUGAGGGCUACAAGAAGGAUAACUGCCUAGCGUGUUGAGACAUGGGUGGUCAGACACUUAAUGCCUGUUUCUCUUCUUUCCCCCAGGAAUUCAUGAACUUUUAAAAUACUUUAUUCUACAGAAGGAGAUCUUCUUAACUAAUUAGAAAAAGAAUCGGAUUUUACUGCUCCAGGAGUUGAGAAUGAACUUGGUUACUAAUCCCCAAAGUAAUAGAUAAACUAGGUGUGGAUGCUUCUUUACUAAAUUGUAUCAGAGAAUCACAAAUGAACAUGACUUGUGCAUGCAUAAACCUCAGCAGACUGAACUAACCAUCUUUAGAUUAUUUACACAUGUGCUCCUAAUUGAUAUGGUCACCUUUAUAUUAUAGGACAGCAUAUUUGCUUAUUAUUCACAGGUACAUGUAAAGGAGAAACGAGAGUGGCAGGAAUAGUUGGCCUCAUUCCUCUCCAACAGGUCAGAAAAACUUGUUGUUGUUGUUGUUGUUGUGUAGCAUUUUAGAUACAUCAAUUAUUUGGUCUUACUGUGAGACGAAAAACACAUUAGACAAUGUACAGAUUCUUGGCAGAGGUGGUGUAUCAGUCCAUUUUCAUACUGCUCUGAAGAAAUGCCCAAGACUGGGUAAUUUAUAAAGAAAAAGAGGCUUAAUGGACUCACAGUUCCACACGGCCCAGGAGGCCUCCUCAUAGCGGAAGGUGAAGGAGGAGCAAAGGCACAUCUUACAUGGGGGCAGGCAAGAGCACGUGUGCAGGGGAACUGCCCUUUAUAAAACCAUCAGAUUUCGUGAUACUUAUUCACUAUUGCAAGAACAGCAUGGGAAAAACCCACCCCCAUGAUUCAGUUACCUCCCACCGGGUCCCGCCCAUGACAUGUGGGAAUUAUGGGAGUUACGUUUCAAAAUGAGAUUUGCGUGAGGACACAGCCGAACCCUAUCAGGUGGCUUCUGGUGAACUCUUCUUACCCUGCUUCACCAAGUCACUUUGAAAUUUUUUUUUUCAGAGAAAUAAUUGCUCUUUGCUGCAGUUGUCAGCUGUCCUGCUGGAAUUUUGGAAACAGCAGGGCUGCAGAAGGAGGGCUUGAACUACCCACCGGAGACAGGGUCUUGCUUUGUCACCCAGGCUGCAGGACAAUGGCAUGAUCUCAGCUCACUGCCACCCCUGCCUUCCAGGCUGAAAGAUUCCUCCCACCUCAGCCUACUGAGUAACUGGGACUACAGGUGUUCACCACCACAAUGGCUAAUUUUUUGUACUUUUGCAAGAGAUGGGAGUUUCGCCAUGUUCCCUAUGAUUGGUCUCGAAUGCCUGAGCCCAAGCUGUCCAUCCUCGUUGGCCUCCCGAAGUGCUGGGAUUAUAGGUGUGAGCCACUACAGCUGAUCUCUACAAAGUUUGAAAACAUGCAAAGCAAUUCUGUUGUUGAUAUGGACACAUUUGUGUGGCAUAAUUGUACAAAAACAUGCAUGGGAACAGCAAACUCUAAAUUGGGGAUAAUGAUUACCUUUAAGGAGGGAGAAAAGGGAAUAGGGGGAGGUGGAAGGGCACAGAUAGAAUUUCUGUUUUUUUAAUUUAAUUUUUUUUUUUACACGGAGUUUCACUCUUGUUGCCCAGGCUGGAGUGCAAUGGCGCAAUCUUGGCUCACCACAACCUCUGCCUCCUGGAUUCAAGUGAUUCUCCUGCCUCAGCCUCCCGAGUAACUGGGAUUGCAGGCAUGCACUACCAUGCCCGGCUAAU
rnacentral:lncRNA from 10 species